AUGGUGCGUUGCCAAAGGUCUUGGUUUCACAGCUCAAAAAUCCCACCAUUUUGUUGUUUUCAGAGUCACAGAGCCGUGUCUUUACACUCAGAGGUUUUUGUACGACGACUCAACCACUUUGUAUCACUGUGGUACACGUUCGGUGGAGGAACCAGACUGGAGGUUGGAAGUGAUGUCCGUCCCACCCUGACGGUGCUGCCCCCCUCCAGAGAGGAGCUGCAGCAGGGGAAGGCCACGCUCAUGUGUCUGGCCAACAAGGGCUUCCCCUCAGACUGGAGUCUGUCCUGGAAGGUGAACGACGGCAGCAGCAUCAGCAGCAGCUGGGAGGAGAGCAGGAGCCCCGCGGUGCUGCAGAAGGACGGCCACUACAGCUGGAGCAGCACCCUGAGGCUCCCUGCAGACCAGUGGAGGAAGGUGAACUCUGUGACCUGUGAGGCCACCCAGGGCUCCCAGUCUGCACUCUCACACACACUGAGGACACACCAGUGUUCCCAGUACUGAGCCCACUCACUGGGGAUCACCUACUGCUCUGACUCUGCUCAUCAGCUCACUCUGUCUCUCCAACUCUCUGGCUUUGUGUCAUUUCAACACUUUGAACAGCAAACAUUUUCAGGCUUCUCUCACUGCUGCAAUAUUGGUUCAGUGUUUGACCACAAAUAAACGUCUGUACAUCAAACCUGCUGUUUUUCUGUUCAUUGUUAUGUUGUGUUUUAUUCACUUUGUGCUGAUUUUGUCCA